CGAAAGACCCUGCUCUUAAUUAGUGACGAUGGCAGAGAGAACUAAACGUUCAAAAGUGUGGUUACAAUUCACCAGAGUCGAUGCUGACAAUGCUCAUUGCCACAAGUGCAACAAGACUUUUGCUAGUAAGGGCGGAAACAGGAGCAAUCUGUCCAAACAUCUAUCGAAAGUGCAUCAUGUACAGGCAGAGAAAUGCAGUUUUCGACUGCCUAGCUCGUAGUUCAUCUCUCGUUGUCCGAUCUAUGUUAGGUAUGCUAGCAGCCUAGAUCCCACACACAGAGUUAACUUAAUUAUGCGAACAUGGGUUCAUGAUCAAAAGGAACCAUUAGCCAGCUGAUUGUUUAGCUGUGGGUGCGUUCAUAAAUUCAAUCACCCAUUUAAAGAUUUUGCAACUUUUUUGUUAAAGUUGCAGCUACAAUGAACUGACCCACUCCUCCCUCUAAUAACGCUGGUCCAAGCCAAAGACAAGCCCAAAGCCCCUUCAUGCUGGCAGCUAGUGGGAGGAUGACUGAGGAGAGGGUGAAUGAGUGCCACCUAGACGUGACCAAGUUCAUAGUGAAAGGCCUACACCCCUUUGCAACAGUGGAGUCCAAGGGCUUUAGGGAGAUGACCAAGUCACUCAACCCCAAAUAUACCCCUCCCUCCAGGAGUUACCUCAGUGACACAUUCAUUCCUACCUGGUGUGGUGUAGAAAAGGCCAAUGUGAUCACUGAGCUGAAGGACGUGCCAAAGCUGGCCAUCACAUCAGAUGGGUGGACCAGCCUCUGUCAGGACCACUAUCUCACUGCUACAGUGCACUUCACAAGCCAGGGCAGUGUAAAACAGAAGGUCAUCCACACCAGAAGGUCCUCCACACAAUCUACAAAAUGACUUCCAUUGAUAAAUGGGCAGCCCGAAUCAGAGCAGUGGUCAUGUGGUUCAAGAGAUCCUCGAUGCCCAAAACAGUCUUGAAGGAAAAGCAGCAGCUCCUUGGCCUUCCGCAACACUCACUCAUCCUUGAUGCCAAGACCAGAUGGAACUCUAUCUAAUGAUAGAGAGAUUCAUGGAGGAGUAUCCAGCGAUCCAAGCAGCAACAUUGGACCCACGACUGCGAAAAGCAAUGACCAAAGACAACCUGAACCGUCUGAAGGAUGAGGACUUCCAUAAGGCUGUGGAGUUUGUCCAGCUCAUGAGAAUCCUCUAUACAUCCACACUGUGUGUGUCAUGUGACAAGAAUGCCACCUGUGGACAGAUCGUACCCAUCCUCCAAUAAUUGGAAAAGCACUUCACUGUGAAGCAUGACGAUACGUUUGUGGCAACCAUCAAAGAGAAGGUGUGGGAGAACCUCUCCGAGCGCUAUCAGGAUGAGGACAUUCAGGCCUUCCUGCAUGAGGCCACAGCAAUGGACCCCAGAUUUAAAGGGAGGCCGGUGAGUGACGACACCUGGGACGGGCUGAGGAAGGCAACUGUUGAGGCCAAUGUGACAGGAGCAACACCAGGGCUGUCAGAGGAGCCGGAGCAGACAGACACAGAGCACCAGCAACAGGAGGAGGAGUCUGACGGAGAAGGAGAGGAAAUGGAGGAGACAGUCCCUCCAUUGUACAAAACAAGGAGAUCCUUGGAGGAGCUGUUCUCAGAGGAGGACAGGGAGUUGAGGUUGACGAUCCAACAGGAGACCUCGUCCCUCACCUUCAGUGAGCAUGUUGACCUAGAGGUCGAGCUCUACAAAGGCCUGCCUCCCAUCCCCAUGGCUGAAGAUCCUGUGACGUGGUGGUGGGAGAAGAGCUACUCUGCCCCUCCUCACAAACAUUGUAACAAGCUACCUCUGUGCUCAAGACUCCUCAACCCCUAGCGAGAGGGUAUUUUCGACUGCAGCGAACACAAUAAGCCAGGAGAGGUCCCGACUUCUGCCAGAGAAGGGAAUAUGUUGAUCUUUCUCCAGAAGAACUGCUAAGAACUAUUAGUCCUUUUGCAGCCUACCUGCAUUCCCCUGCUCUAUACCACUGUAUAUUCUUUUGCAGGAAAAUAUUGUUUAUUUAAUUUGUUUUACAUUUCCAUCAUCACAGCAUUAGAGUCUAUAAAAGUGAUUUGUUCAAAACAUUGCUGUUUCUUUUGCUGUAAAUAAUUGUUUAUUUUAUUUAUUUUAUAUUUCAGAAAAUAAAGCAAUGUUAAUUCUGUUCUUAAUUUGUUUAAUUUUUUCCCGUAAAAAAUAAAUAAAAAAAAUAACUGUUAAGUAUACCAUUAAAGUACCAGAUCAUUAAGCAGUAUCGGUAAGAGUAGUAAUACCGUUAAAAUCUUAACGAUACCCACCCCUAGUCAAGAAGCAGUGUGGCUUGGUUGGGUCAUGUUUCGGAGGACGCAUGACUCUCGACCUUCGCCUCUCCCGAGUCCGUACGGGAGUUUCAGCGAUGAGACAAGACUGUAACUACCAAUUGGAUACCACGAAAUUGGGGAGAAAAGGGAGUAAAAUAAAAUGUUUAAUAUGUUUUUACAAAUCUAGAUUUUUUUUAUUUAUAUAUUUGUUUUAUAAAAAAUUAACACCAUUCUCCAUGAACUUUCAUUUGCAACUUGAGAAAGAGCUAGGUAAAUGAGUAAUCCGUUUGGAUAAGAGAAUUGUAAAUACAAAUGACACUUGUUUUAGAUAUAUAGUGCUUUCAGAAAGUAUUCAUGCCCCUCGACAUAUUCAACAUUUUUUACAUUACAGUCUGAAUUCAGAAUAGAUUCGAUUUUUUUCUUACACAUUUGCACACAGUUUUGCCUGCCUGUUUUGCAUGUUAUUUUGGCAUUAAUACGUGUCACAUAUUAGGUUGCAAACAAUGUAAAA